rnacentral:rRNA from 1 species
AUUGAACGCUGGCGGCAGGCCUAACGCAUGCAAGUCGAGCGGAUGAAGGGAGCUUGCUCCUGGAUUCAGCGGCGGACGGGUGAGUAAUGCCUAGGAAUCUGCCUGGUAGUGGGGGAUAACGUCCGGAAACGGGCGCUAAUACCGCAUACGUCCUGAGGGAGAAAGUGGGGGAUCUUCGGACCUCACGCUAUCAGAUGAGCCUAGGUCGGAUUAGCUAGUUGGUGGGGUAAAGGCCUACCAAGGCGACGAUCCGUAACUGGUCUGAGAGGAUGAUCAGUCACACUGGAACUGAGACACGGUCCAGACUCCUACGGGAGGCAGCAGUGGGGAAUAUUGGACAAUGGGCGAAAGCCUGGUCCAGCCAUGCCGCGUGUGUGAAGAAGGUCUUCGGAUUGUAAAGCACUUUAAGUUGGGAGGAAGGGCAGUAAGUUAAUACCUUGCUGUUUUGACGUUACCAACAGAAUAAGCACCGGCUAACUUCGUG